rnacentral:rRNA from 1 species
AGUGAGAAUGCCGGAAUGAGUAGCGAGAAUUAUGUGAGAAUCAUAAUGGCCGAAAAUCUAAGGUUUCCUGAGGAAGGUUCGUCCGCUCAGGGUAAGCCGGGGGCUAAGGCGAGGCGGAGACGCGUAGCCGAUGCACAUACGGUUGAAAUUCCGUAGCCACCGAAAGAUUUAAGUACAGGGACGCUUUAGAAGUGAUGUAGCCGGGCGAUGGUUGACCCGGUCGUAAGGGAUCGAAAAUGAGUAGAGAAGUCAUCAUGGAAAGAGACAAGAAAAGCUGUAUGGAUAUCUUAGGUGCCCGUACCGCAAACCGACACAGGUAGAUAGGAAGAAGAUUCUAAGGCCAACGGGAGAAGGGUUGUUAAGGAACUCGGCAAGUUGACCCCGUAACUUAGGGAUAAGGGGUGCUCAAGUGAUUGAGCCGCAGAGAAUAGGCCCAGGCGACUGUUUAGCAAAAACACAGGUCUCUGCUAAAUCGAAAGAUGACGUAUAGGGGCUGACACCUGCCCGGUGCCGGAAGGUUAAGAGGAGAUGUGAGAGCAUUGAAUUGAAGCCCCGGUAAACGGCGGCCGUAACUAUAACGGUCCUAAGGUAGCGAAAUUCCUUGUCAGGUAAGUUCUGACCCGCACGAAAGGUGUAACGAUCUGGGCACUGUCUCAACAACCCGCCCGGCGAAAUUGUAGUACCGGUGAAGAUGCCGGUUACCCGCGACUAGACGGAAAGACCCCAUGGAGCUUUACUGUAGCCUAAUAUUGGAUUUCGGUAUUUCACGUACAGGAUAGGUGGGAGACUGGGAAGCACAGGCGUCAGCUUGUGUGGAGUCGACCUUGGGAUACCACUCUUGGAGUGCUGGAAUUCUAACCUGCGGCUUUGAAGCAAGUCGGGGGACAUUGUUAGGUGGGCAGUUUGACUGGGGCGGUCGCCUCCUAAAGAGUAACGGAGGCGCUCAAAGGUUCGCUCUGCAUGGAUGGAAACCAUGCGUCAGAGUGUAAACGCAAAAGCGAGCCUAACUGCGAGAAUGACGGUUCGAGCAGUAACGAAAGUUGGAGUUAGUGAUCCGGCGGUAUGUGAAUGGAAAUGCCGUCGCUCAACGGAUAAAAGCUACCCUGGGGAUAACAGGCUGAUCUCCCCCAAGAGUCCACAUCGACGGGGAGGUUUGGCACCUCGAUGUCGGCUCAUCGCAUCCUGGGGCUGAAUUCGGUCCCAAGGGUUUGGCUGUUCGCCAAUUAAAGCGGUACGCGAGCUGGGUUCAGAACGUCGUGAGACAGUUCGGUCCCUAUCUGUCGUGGGCGUAGGAUAUUUGCAAGGAGCUGUCCCUAGUACGAGAGGACCGGGAUGGACGCACCUCUGGUGCACCAGUUGUCACGCCAGUGGCACAGCUGGGCAGCUAUGUGCGGAACGGAUAAACGCUGAAGGCAUCUAAGCGUGAAGCCGCCCUUAAGAUAAGAUAUCCCUUCUGUUUACAGAGUAAGACCCCUUGAAGACUACAAGGUUGAUAGGCUCAAAGUGUAAGCACGGUGACGUGUUUAGCUAGCGAGUACUAAUCGGUCGAGGGCUUAACCUU